rnacentral:rRNA from 1 species
UGGGGAAUAUUGCACAAUGGGCGAAAGCCUGAUGCAGCAACGCCGCGUGAGUGAUGAAGGUCUUCGGAUUGUAAAGCUCUGUCUUUUGGGACGAUAAUGACGGUACCAAAGGAGGAAGCCACGGCUAACUACGUGCCAGCAGCCGCGGUAAUACGUAGGUGGCGAGCGUUGUCCGGAUUUACUGGGCGUAAAGGGUGCGUAGGCGGAUGUUUAAGUGAGAUGUGAAAUACCCGGGCUUAACUUGGGUGCUGCAUUUCAAACUGGAUAUCUAGAGUGCAGGAGAGGAGAAUGGAAUUCCUAGUGUAGCGGUGAAAUGCGUAGAGAUUAGGAAGAACACCAGUGGCGAAGGCGAUUCUCUGGACUGUAACUGACGCUGAGGCACGAAAGCGUGGGUAGCAAACAGGAUUAGAUACCCUGGUAGUCCACGCCGUAAACGAUGAGUACUAGGUGUAGGAGGUAUCGACCCCUUCUGUGCCGCAGUAAACACAUUAAGUACUCCGCCUGGGAAGUACGAUCGCA